rnacentral:rRNA from 1 species
AAACCAACAGGGAUUGCCUCAGUAGCGGCGAGUGAAGCGGCAAAAGCUCAAAUUUGAAAUCUGGUAGUUCUGCUACCCGAGUUGUAAUUUGUAGAAAACUGUCUUUGUUAGGGUGCCUGUCUAAGUUCCUUGGAACAGGACGUCGCAGAGGGUGAGAAUCCCGUGUGAUGGGUGGCCCGAGCUUUUAAGGCGUUUUCGAAGAGUCGAGUUGUUUGGGAAUGCAGCUCUAAGUGGGUGGUAAAUUCCAUCUAAAGCUAAAUAUUGGCGAGAGACCGAUAGCGAACAAGUACAGUGAUGGAAAGAUGAAAAGAACUUUGAAAAGAGAGUGAAACAGUACGUGAAAUUGUUGAAAGGGAAGGGUAUUUGAUCCGACAUGGGAUUUACUCAUCAUUGCUCCUUGUGGGUGGUGCUCUGGGUUUUUUCUGGGCCAGAAUCAGUUUGUGUGGCAGGAUAAAGACGUAAGGAAGUAGCUCUUCUGGAGCAAUAUAACUCAUGUUAAUACUGCCUAUGCGGACUGAGGAAUGCGGUUUUUACCAAGGAUUCUGGCAUAACGAUUAAAUACCGC